UACAGAGGUCUCAAGCGUUGUUCGGAUUCAUUGGGCGUAAAGGGUGCGUAGGCGGCGCGGUAAGUCGGGUGUGAAAUCUUGGAGCUUAACUCCGAAACUGCAUUCGAUACUGCCGUGCUUGAGGACUGGAGAGGAGACUGGAAUUUACGGUGUAGCGGUGAAAUGCGUAGAUAUCUGCAGGAACACCCGUGGCGAAAGCGGCGAGCUGGAUCACUACUGACGCUGAGGAACGAAAGCUAGGGGGAGCAAAACAGG
rnacentral:rRNA from 1 species